AUUGAACGCUGGCGGCAGGCCUAACACAUGCAAGUCGAGCGAGCGGCGGGGGGGAGUGUAGUGUGUGGAGAUCUGUGCGAGAGGGGGGGAUAACUAGUGGAAAGUGUGGCUAAUACCGCAUUCUCUCGGAUGCACACAUAUGGGAUUAGCUAGUAGGUGGGGUAAAGGCUCACCUAGGCGACGAUCUCUAGCUGGUCUGAGAGGAUGAUCAGCCACACUGGGACUGAGACACGGCCCAGACGCCUACGGGAGGCAGCAGUGGGGAAUAUUGCACAAUGGGCGCAAGCCUGAUGCAGCCAUGCCGCGUGUAUGAAGAAGGCCUUAGGGUUGUAAAGUACUUUCAGCGGGGAGGCGUUACCCGCAGAAGAAGCACCGGCUAACUCCGUGCCAGCAGCCGCGGUAAUUC
rnacentral:rRNA from 1 species